UUUACAGCCUGGUACAAAAGAUGGUUUUAGUGUAUAUUGCUAAUUUUGCCCUUCGUGACUGUGAGGAGGGUGAAUUUUUUUUAUAACUCACCCAUUUAAAUUAUAUUAAGCCUUAAAGUUCUGUAUUAUUAGGUGCGUGGGCACGUUGAUUGACAGGUGGGUGAUGUCGCUGAACACGGAGCUCAGCAGCUCUGCCUUGUUUGUGCCUUUUGGACAUUUCUUCAUGCAGAAUCCGAAAACAAAUAAUGUCAUGCUGUGCAGUUUAUUGGAGAGAAAGAGAACCUUCAAAAGCCUAUUCUCCAGUUGGUGCCAGAUAAGCUGAUGGCAGCAUCAUUCCAGAGUCCAGCUCUACAGAAGUCCCAGCUUCCAGUGUGGCCCUGCCAGAUCCUGCAGCUCACUGCUUUGCUCAGCCUUUUGUUUUUGUUUUACUUUAACACCUGGACUCUACUGAUUUCAAAUUAUGACACUGGGUUCCUAUACAUAAGUUCUGUCAUUAUAUUUACUGUUGCAACAUCUUACUUCAAGUCAUGCAAAACAACUUUUACAUUUGAAAUCUUUCAAUAUAUUAGAAAUAUUUUUUGUUAUAUAAAACUGAUCAGACUAAAUUUACAUAAAAUAAAAUCACAUUCUUCAGUAAAUGGAAAAUUGUAAGACGGUAUUAUAGGUUAACGGUUUGCAUAAAUGUCAGUAAAAGGUACAAAAUUAAAAUUGGGAGCAUUUUCACUUUUCAA